rnacentral:lncRNA from 1 species
CUUUACAGCAUGAUGUUGUUGGGACUCAGUUGUAAUUGCUCUCAUCCUAGUUCAUAAACUGCAAUCCUGACUUUAUUUUACAUUUCUUUAAAAGAUAGCCAAGUUGAUAGUCUACUACAGUCAGUGAUAUCAUACUGCCACCUUGUGGACAAAGAAUAUCCCCAUGAGUAACAGGCUUUCAACAAACCUGUAACAAGCACUUAUUAAACGUUAUUUCAAAAUAAUACAAAUGUAUUAAAUAUGCACUAUCAAUUUAAUUAUUUUGUUUUUUCAAUACCUUUUAUAAGUAAUUGACGUUCCAAUAAAAUAUAAAACAAUUGGUAGGCCUACAGGCUAUUCUUAACAAUGUAUAGUGAACAAACAUGUGGAUGCAACUAUGCUUCAGCUCAGAGACAAAGUUAUAUGUUGCUUCCCAAAUUGCACCAUAUUUCCUAUAUAGUGCACUACUCUUGACCAGCCCUAGUCAUCUGGGAAGUAGCCAGAGAUUCUUCCAAUCCAAUGCAGAGAGGUCAGGGCGUGUGUGUGUGCAGGUCAGGCUGUGUACACUCUAGGCUAAAAUCAACAGAGGAAAUGAGAUCAUGGAGGUCACGCCAGAUCCACCUCCUGUCAAGAUAAACAGGAAGUUUACUAGUGGGUGCAGGAAGGGCCCAUCACUUAGAGGCCGUCCACAGCAUGUGUCCCAAAUGGCCCAGGUCAAAAGCAGUGCACUACAUAGGGAAUAGGGUGCCAUUUAUUAAUAAGGGCACAUUGAAUGGUGUCUUUGUCUACUGAUUGAUUGAGAAACAUCUGUUGAAAUUGAAUUCAGAAGUAAGAUGGUGCCACCAUCGUGUCGUCAGCAAACUUAACAAUGGUGUUGGAGUCGUGCGCGGCCACGUAGUCAUGGGUGAACCGGGUGCAGGAGGGGACUAAGCACGCAAACUUAAGCACGCACCCCCGUGUUGAGGGUCAGCGUGUCGAAUGUGUUGUUGCCUAUCCUCACCACCUGGGGGAGGCCCAUCAGGAAGUCCAUUGAUUGUGGCCUGUGGAAUAUUGUCCCACUCCUCUUCACUGGCUGUGCGAAGUUGCUGGAUAUUGGCGAGAACUGGAACAUGUUGUCGUAGACGUCGAUCCAGAGCAUCCCAAAUAUGCUCAAUGAGUGUCUGAUUAUGCCUGCCCAUACCAUAACCCCACCACCACCAUGGGGCACUCUAUUCACGAUGUGAUGUUGACAUCAGCAAACCGCUCGCCCACACGACGCCAUACAGGCUGUCUGCCAUCUGCCUGGUACAGUUGAAAUCGGGAUUCAUCCGUGAAGAGCACACUUCUCCAGCGUGCCAGUGACCAUUUGAAGGUGAGCAUUUGCCCAUUUAAGUCGGUUACGAAACCGAACUACAAUCAGGUCAAGACUCUGGUGAGGAUGACGAGCAGAUGAGCUUCCCUGAGGCGGUUUCUGACAGUUUGUGCAGAAAUUCUUCGGUUGUGCAAACCUACAGUUUCAUCAGCUACCCAGGUGGCUGGUCUCAGACGAUCCCGCAGGGCGUGCUGCAGAACCCUCUGCACUAAUACUUCUCAUGGCUAUGGCCACACCUGUCAGGUGGAUGGAUUAUCUUGGAAAAGGAGAAAUGCUUACUAACAGGGAUGUAAACAAUUUUGUGCACAAAGUUUGAGAAAAAAUGUUUUUUUGUGCGUAUGGAACAUUUCUGGGAUCUUUUAUUUCACGUAAUGAAACAUGGGACCAGCACUUUACAUGUUGCGUUUAAAUGUUUGUUCAGUGAAGCAGGCUCUCUAAUUCCUUUACCACUAUAUCUUCAGACAGGGUUGGACAUCGUUCAUUCAUCACUCAAAAUUAGACUAGAGGUGAGGGUUGCAAAGGUCAACGCUUAUAGCUAUAUCCGUCAGUCCAUGUUCGUGAAAGUGUGUAUGUAUGAGUUUGUGAGUAAGUCAAUGUAUGCAUGACAUUUCCAUAUGCAACAUUUAUGUUUUUCCUGUAUAUCUAUAUUAUGUUGCCUCUACUCUGACAGUGUUUUCUAAUUCUUCAAUACACAGAGAACACUAAUAGCCUGUAUACUGUCUCUCCACUUAUUUCCCUUACACAACAGAGUCAUAUUCACUAGGCACCAAACAAAGAAAACAUACUAAAACAGGAAGGGACUUCCAGACUUUGUCCUGUAAGAAAUGCUUGUUUUUGUUUUCUGUUGCAAAACAGUUUGCUACGUUUUGAUACGGUUCGCAUUAAUGAAUGCAACCCUGUAGACUUGCUGGGAAUAGUCCAUUGUAUGUAGUGAUCUCUACAUUUACUCUGACAUCAACAUCCAAGGAGUGAGAAUGGAUUUUUCUGUCACCAAGGACAACAAACAUAUAAUCCUGCUGAAUUCUCUCCGCAACAUGCAAUCUGGUCUCAGAGAAAGACGUAUAAUACUAUAUGUCCUCCAAGAUGUAUUAUAAGUUACGUCAUCCAAUUCGUAUGCUAUUCAUUGUAUGAUCAGGUAAAACAUAUACUAUACGUCCUCUCAUUCCUAUGAUAUUGUACAACUGCUAUUCCAUUCAUAAUGUAACCUAACGUUAUGUAUCAUACUAAAUUAAGGAGAACGGAUUGAAGUACCAAAUCUUACAAAUUUGCUUUGAGGCCAGGUUGAUAUUUUAUAUAUAUUUUUGAUGUACUCUUAUGCUUAUGCUGAAUUCUCUGCCUAAAUUAUUCUAUCACUAGUUUCUGUCAACCAUGAGAUCUGAGUACUUUACCAAUAGCAUAUAGGGCCAGUGAGGGUUGGAUCAUUUUCAGAUGAACAGGGCUCUGGUCAAAAGUAGUGCACUAUUUAGGGAUAUGGUGCCAUUUGGGAUGCAUCUGAACAGUGGAUCAAUAAGGUUGAGUAGGAGCUGACUCACUGUUGUGGUUUUCCCAUGUGAACACCAAACAUCAUCCUUGCAAAACGAAUUCAGA